rnacentral:rRNA from 1 species
UACGAAGGGGGCUAGCGUUAAUCGGAAUUACUGGGCGUAAAGCGUGCGCAGGCGGUUUUGUAAGCCAGAUGUGAAAUCCCCGGGCUUAACCUGGGAAUGGCAUUUGGGACUGCAAGGCUGGAGUGCGGCAGAGGAGACUGGAAUUCCUGGUGUAGCAGUGAAAUGCGUAGAUAUCAGGAGGAAUACCGAUGGCGAAGGCAGGUCUCUGGGCUGACACUGACGCUCAUGCACGAAAGCGUGGGGAGCAAACAGG